UACGUAGGGCGCAAGCGUUGUCCGGAAUUAUUGGGCGUAAAGAGCUCGUAGGCGGUCUGUCGCGUCGGAUGUGAAAGCCCGGGGCUUAACCCCGGGCCUGCAGUGGGUACGGGCAGACUAGAGUGCGGUAGGGGAGACUGGAAUUCCUGGUGUAGCGGUGAAAUGCGCAGAUAUCAGGAGGAACACCGGUGGCGAAGGCGGGUCUCUGGGCCGUAACUGACGCUGAGGAGCGAAAGCGUGGGGAGCGAACAGG
rnacentral:rRNA from 1 species